UCUCUGAUUUUAUAAAAUAAAUUUUGAUUUAUUUUAAUCAUCCGCUGCAUGAUCUUGAAAAAGUUUCAAGAUCUAAUCUUGAAACCCUAAAUCUAAUUCCAUCACUAUUCUCACAGCGGCAUGCUUCCUGCUUUCUUCGAUUAGGUUGAGAUUAGUCCAAAGCCACACUGAGUUGGUGUCUUCAUUAUACUCCUCCACUCUGAGGGA
rnacentral:lncRNA from 1 species